UGGGGAAUUUUGGACAAUGGGCGCAAGCCUGAUCCAGCAAUGCCGCGUGCAGGAAGAAGGCCUUCGGGUUGUAAACUGCUUUUGUCAGGGAAGAAAUCUUCUGGGCUAAUACCCCGGGAGGAUGACGGUACCUGAAGAAUAAGCACCGGCUAACUACGUGCCAGCAGCCGCGGUAAUACGUAGGGUGCGAGCGUUAAUCGGAAUUACUGGGCGUAAAGCGUGCGCAGGCGGUUAUGUAAGACAGAUGUGAAAUCCCCGGGCUCAACCUGGGAACUGCAUUUGUGACUGCAUGACUGGAGUGCGGCAGAGGGGGAUGGAAUUCCGCGUNUAGCAGUGAAAUGCGUAGAUAUGCGGAGGAACACCGAUGGCGAAGGCAAUCCCCUGGGCCUGCACUGACGCUCAUGCACGAAAGCGUGGGGAGCAAACAGGAUUAGAUACCCUGGUAGUCCACGCCCUAAACGAUGUCAACUGGUUGCUGGACGGCUUGCUGUUCAGUAACGAGGCUAACGCGUGAAGUUGACCGCCUGGGGAGUACGGCCGCAAGGUUGAAACUCAAAUGAAUUGACGGGGUCAUAGCUG
rnacentral:rRNA from 1 species